rnacentral:rRNA from 1 species
CCGUAGGUGAACCUGCGGAAGGAUCAUUACAAGUGAGGCUACCGAACGCUGGAAACAGCGGUUAGGAGCUUACACCCACCCGUGUUUACAUACUAUUGUUGCUUUGGCGGGCCGUGGUCUCCACUGCGGGCUCUGCUCGUGUGUGCCCGCCAGAGGACCAAACUCUGAAUGUUAGUGAUGUCUGAGUACUAUCUAAUAGUUAAAACUUUCAACAACGGAUCUCUUGGUUCUGGCAUCGAUGAAGAACGCAGCGAAAUGCGAUAAGUAAUGUGAAUUGCAGAAUUCAGUGAAUCAUCGAAUCUUUGAACGCACAUUGCGCCCUGUGGUAUUCCGCAGGGCAUGCCUGUUCGAGCGUCAUUUAACCACUCACGCCUAGCGUGGUAUUGGGGCACGCGGUCUCGCGGCCCUCAAAAUUAGUGGCGGCGCCGGUGGGCUCUAAGCGUAGUACAUACUCCCGCUAUAGAGUUCCCCCGGUGGCUCGCCAGAACCCCCAAUUUUUUACAGGUUGACCUCGGAUCAGGUAGGGAUACCCGCUGAACUUAAGCAUAUCAAUAAGCGGAGGA